rnacentral:rRNA from 1 species
UGGGGAAUAUUGGACAAUGGGGGCAACCCUGAUCCAGCAAUGCCGCGUGUGUGAAGAAGGUCUUCGGAUUGUAAAGCACUUUCGACGGGAACGAUGAUGACGGUACCCGUAGAAGAAGCCCCGGCUAACUUCGUGCCAGCAGCCGCGGUAAUACGAAGGGGGCUAGCGUUGCUCGGAAUGACUGGGCGUAAAGGGCGUGUAGGCGGUUUACACAGUCAGAUGUGAAAUCCCCGGGCUUAACCUGGGAGCUGCAUUUGAUACGUGUAGACUAGAGUGUGAGAGAGGGUUGUGGAAUUCCCAGUGUAGAGGUGAAAUUCGUAGAUAUUGGGAAGAACACCGGUGGCGAAGGCGGCAACCUGGCUCAUGACUGACGCUGAGGCGCGAAAGCGUGGGGAGCAAACAGGAUUAGAUACCCUGGUAGUCCACGCUGUAAACGAUGUGUGCUAGAUGUUGGGUAACUUUGUUAUUCGGUGUCGCAGUUAACGCGUUAAGCACACCGCCUGGGGAGUAC